rnacentral:tRNA from 1 species
GCCUCGGUAGCUCAGCUGGAUAGAGCAACGGCCUUCUAAGCCGUAGGUCAUGGGUUCGAAUCCCGUCCGGGGUA